rnacentral:rRNA from 1 species
CCUACGGGAGGCAGCAGUGGGGGAUAUUGCACAAUGGAGGGAACCCUGAUGCAGCGACGCCGCGUGGGUGAAGGCGCGUUUCUGCGCGUAAAGCUCUAUCUGCAGGGAAGAAGGCGGACGGUACCUUACUAAUAUGCCACGGCUAACUACGUACCAGCAGCCGCGGUAAUACGGAGGGGGCAAGCGUUAUCCGGAUUUACUGGGUGUAAAGGGGGCGCAGACGGCAGCGCAAGCCAGGAGUGAAAGCCCGGGGCACAACCCCGGAACUGCUCUUGGAACUGCGCGGCUGGAGUGCAGGAGCGGCAGGCGGAAUUCCUGGUGUAGCGGUGAAAUGCGUAGAUAUCA